rnacentral:lncRNA from 1 species
GUCGAACUAAUUUUUGGGGAAAUAAAUAGAGUGUGUGAGUUAAAAAUUGAUACAAGAUCUAGGGUAAAUUGAUACGAGGUCUAUGUCCAAGUUUGUAUUCAAUGUGACUGUCUGUGACCAGAUCAAUCUCAAGUCACAAUCGGUUACAAUCAACACAAAUUAGGUCACAAACAGUCAUAAUUAGAUCUCGAACAGAAAAAACCAGAUCUCCAACCACCACAGCAGAUUUGUUCGAAAAAAUAAUAACCACCACCACUACUAACAUCUUUAAUUCAAAUCCACAACAACAAUCAUCACUACCAUAACUUCCACCAACACCUUCAAAAAACACUAAUCAAUUGAUUAUUGAAUAUUUCUCAAUAAAGAUUUCCAAGAUUUUUCUUCACUGCACCAAAAAGGGAGAUGGUUGGGUGGGUGGUGAUAGAGAGAGAGAGAGAGGAUAGGGCGAAGAAAGAGGUGGGAAAAUGAAAAUAUCUAGGGCUUGGAUUUGAGAAUGAAAUGGGGAUGGAAUG